GACGAACGCUGGCGGCGUGCUUCACACAUGCAAGUCGAACGGUGAAAUCCCUUCGGGGAUGGAUCAGUGGCGAACGGGUGAGUAACACGUGGGCAACCUGCCCCUGACUCUGGGAUAACCCCGGGAAACCGGAGCUAAUACCGGAUAUGACCUCUGACCGCAUGGUCUGGAGGUGGAAAGUUUUUCGGUCAGGGAUGGGCCCGCGGCCUAUCAGCUUGUUGGCGGGGUAACGGCCCACCAAGGCGACGACGGGUAGCCGGCCUGAGAGGGCGACCGGCCACACUGGGACUGAGACACGGCCCAGACUCCUACGGGAGGCAGCAGUGGGGAAUAUUGCGCAAUGGGCGAAAGCCUGACGCAGCGACGCCGCGUGAGGGAUGAAGGCCUUCGGGUUGUAAACCUCUUUCAGCUCCGACGAAGCGAAAGUGACGGUAGGAGCAGAAGAAGCACCGGCCAACUACGUGCCAGCAGCCGCGGUAAUACGUAGGGUGCAAGCGUUGUCCGGAAAUAUUGGGCGUAAAAAGCUCGUAGGCGGUUUGUCGCGUCGGCUGUGAAAACUCGAGGCUCAACCUCGGGCCUGCAGCCGAUACGGGCAAACUAGAGUUUGGUAGGGGAGACUGGAAUUCCUGGUGUAGCGGUGGAAUGCGCAGAUAUCAGGAGGAACACCGGUGGCGAAGGCGGGUCUCUGGGCCAAAACUGACGCUGAGGAGCGAAAGCGUGGGGAGCGAACAGGAUUAGAUACCCUGGUAGUCCACGCCGUAAACGUUGGGCGCUAGGUGUGGGGACCAUUCCAUGGUUUCCGUGCCGCAGCUAACGCAUUAAGCGCCCCGCCUGGGGAGUACGGCCGCAAGGCUAAAACUCAAAGGAAUUGACGGGGGCCCGCACAAGCGGCGGAGCAUGUUGCUUAAUUCGAUGCAACGCCAAGAACCUUACCAAGGCUUGACAUGCAGGGAAAUCCGUCAGAGAUGGCGAGUCCGCAAGGGUCCUGCACAGGUGGUGCAUGGUUGUCGUCAGCUCGUGUCGUGAGAUGUUGGGUUAAGUCCCGCAACGAGCGCAACCCUCGUCCUAUGUUGCCAGCGAGUAAUGUCGGGGACUCAUAGGAGACUGCCGGGGUCAACUCGGAGGAAGGUGGGGAUGAGGUCAAAUCAUCAUGCCCCUUAUGUCUUGGGCUGCAAACAUGCUACAAUGGCCGGUACAAAGGGCUGCGAAACCGCAAGGUGAAGCGAAUCCCAAAAAGCCGGUCUCAGUUCGGAUUGGGGUCUGCAACUCGACCCCAUGAAGUCGGAGUCGCUAGUAAUCGCAGAUCAGCAACGCUGCGGUGAAUACGUUCCCGGGCCU
rnacentral:rRNA from 1 species